rnacentral:rRNA from 1 species
AGAGUUUGAUCCUGGCUCAGGACGAACGCUGACGGUGUGCUUUAGGCAUGCAAGUCGAACGAGAAAGCCCUUCGGGGUGAGUAAAGUGGCGAACGGGUGAGUAACACGUGGGCAACCUGCCCCUCGCAGGGGGACAACCGGAGGAAACUCCGGCUAAUACCCCGUAAGCUCUACACGCCGCAUGGCGAGUAGAGGAAAGGUAGCUUCGGCCAUCCGGCGAGGGAUGGGCCCGCGGUGCAUUAGCUAGUUGGUGGGGUAACGGCCCACCAAGGCGACGAUGCGUAGCUGGUCUGAGAGGAUGAUCAGCCACACUGGGACUGAGACACGGCCCAGACUCCUACGGGAGGCAGCAGUCGGGAAUCUUGCGCAAUGGGCGAAAGCCUGACGCAGCAACACCGUGUGGGCGAUGAAGGCCUUCGGGUCGUAAAGCCCUGUUGUUGGGGACGAAGGGCGAAGGGUUAAUAGCCCCUAGCCUGACGGUACCCUUCGAGGAAGCCCCGGCUAACUACGUGCCAGCAGCCGCGGUAAUACGUAGGGGGCGAGCGUUGUCCGGAAUUAUUGGGCGUAAAGAGCGUGUAGGCGGUUUGGUAAGUCUGCCGUGAAAACCCGGGGCUCAACCCCGGGCGUGCGGUGGAUACUGCCAGGCUAGAGGAUGGUAGAGGCGAGUGGAAUUCCCGGUGUAGCGGUGAAAUGCGCAGAUAUCGGGAGGAACACCAGUAGCGAAGGCGGCUCGCUGGGCCAUUCCUGACGCUGAGACGCGAAAGCUAGGGGAGCGAACAGGAUUAGAUACCCCCGUAGUCC